rnacentral:rRNA from 1 species
CCCUUAGAUGUUCUGGGCCGCACGCGUGCUACACUGAGUGGAUCAGCGGGUCAGGUUACGCGAGAGCGUUUCCUAAUCUUUAAAUCCGCUCGUGAUGGGGAUUGACGGUUGCAAUUUUCCGUCAUGAACGAGGAAUACCUUGUAAGCGCGGGUCAUCAUCCCGCGCUGAAUACGUCCCUGCCCUUUGUACACACCGCCCGUCGCUCCUACCGAUUGAGUGGUCCGGUGAGGCUUUGGGAUCUGAGCGGAAAGAGCGUUUCGCUGUUUCUGCCCGGAAAACUCAGUCGAACCUUAUCAUUUAGAGGAAGGAGAAGUCGUAACA